CGCGCGACGUGCUGCUGGUGUUCGUUCGGCUGUUCUUUCACUGCGUUUCUUCUUCUUUGUUGGAGUAAUAUCUCUUCGAUUUUGUUUUUUUUAUUUAGGUUUUCUAUGGUUCUUAUGAUCGGUCUAAUCACCAGGGAAAUAUUUCUUGAAGAUUUGCAGUAAUUAAGGUAGCGAAUUUCUUGAAGAUCGCUUGAAGAUUUGCAGUAGUUAGGUAUUUUUCUAUGACAUGGUCCUAGGGUUUACAGAAUUAGAAUCGGUUUGUCCCUCGAGACUUAGUCGAUUUGAGGAUUGAAUCCGGUUUUUCGUGAUUUAGGUUUCCUCUUUUCAAAUGGAAUUUAUGCGGUUCAGGUAUCUUAUGAAACUGGAAGUGCUUCUUCGUUAAUCUCCAGGAAUCAGCGGUGAUGUGUUUUAAUUGGAUUCGGAGUGUUGCCAAUCCGACAGUAUGAGUUCCGGAUUUCCUUGUAUUUGGUUGAAGAACCGUUGCAGGAUUAUGAGCUUUUAGUGUUUUUUUUCAAUACAUCAUGGUCUGUUUGAAAGCAUCGCGGCAGUAUUAUUUUGUAGCUAGAUGAUGGUUUCUGAUGUUUAUAAUGCCGAUAGUUCUUGAUCCCGAUUCAAUGUUACUUCAGGUUUCAUACUCGAUGUCACCAGAGAGGCAUGAUUUAGAGGCCGGAAUUCAGAUUGACUUCAGGGGGUUUCUCUAUUACAUGGAUAUGAUGAAUAUAUUAUAGUGUAGGGAACGAAGACUUCUGAUGUUUCAUGGUUCUUGAUUCUUGAUGAUUGCUUUAGGUUCCAUCAUCUCUUCAAACAAAAGAGAUGAUGUGGAGGCAGGGGUUCUGAUUGCUUCUUUUCGAGGGUGUACCUUUUCCUUUCAAGUAUUAUGGUUUGUCGUAUAUUGUGAUUUGAAUAAUUGGUUCGAUUCUGAGAAGCAAGAUGUGAUCAGAGUGAUGAUUUUUUUUAACCUCUUGUUUUUGAUGGAAUCCUUUUGUUUGGUUGCAGUUGUAUCGUUGAAGUGUCAAAUUGCACUGAUCCUUUUACCUGAUCGGAGCUAUCAUAUACUGGUUUGAUAGAAUGAUAAAUUCCAUUUCCUUUGCAUGUUGUCACUUCAUAUGUCAAGCAUUGUGGCAACAUGAUAUUUCUGCCGAGGCUUCUCAGAAUCUACCCUUCCUGCUGCUUAUUUGGUUGUUACUUAGAGAUUAUAUUGCUGACUGGUUCAGCUUGGUUUGCCAGAAUACCAAGUCAUUACUUAAUGGACACUCAGAAGCUGGAGAACAUUGGUUCUCAUAUGGGAUUUCCUCACCAAUUUAUAUUUUGAUUAUAGUGUAAUUUCAUCAUUUUGAUCAGUCAGGGUUAUGAAUAAAUAACUUAGUGCAUUUGCUUUUCAUGAUCCAGAGCAUUUAGAGUUAGAGUUGCAAUCUUAUGCUGCAAAUAGAAGCAAAAGAUGUCCUAGUCUUUUGGCUAUUUGUGUUGUUGAGUGUGGUUAUUACUGCUGUUGUUACUGUAGCAUUUGGAAGGAUGUGGUGGACAUCAUCUUUGCAGGGCUAGGUCAUCUGAUGCCUCCCUAGAUACAAGGUACUUCAGAUCUUAAUUAUUGGUUAGGAGGACUAAUUUUUUCCUUGUAUAUUGAUUUUGUAGGAUUCUCGUCCACCUUCCAAGUCCCUUCACAGUUCGUCUUCGUUCUUGGGUGCUAUUAUUGGCUCAUCUUUUUGAUUCAUUAGGUGCUUUGUGCUCUUGUGUUUCCUAUAGUCCCUCUAAACAAGUUCUGGUUUGUCGGUGAUAAAUCUGCUAUAGUGCAUCUCCUACUGUACUUUCGAUGGUGAUCCCUUUUAUAUUGAGUGCUUAUCUAGGUCUGGCAUAAUCUUGAUUUCUUGGUUAAUCUCAUGCAGUUUAUCAUUUUGUGAUUGAUGUUGGCAGUUGUUUCAUGAUUUCCUGUUGCAUUAGUAACCUGGGGAUUCUCUCAUUUGUUUGACCAGCACUGUGAGUUCUCAAUAUGCUAUGGCUGCAUUGGAGUAUAUUUGUUUUUUCAUGAGGGGUUUCCUCACUUUGAUUAUUGAAUUGAUCGUAGUAUUUUUUUUCCCCUUAUGCUUUUAGUUCAUGUCUUUCUUAGUUUGUUAUUUGUGAUGUUGCAGAAGAGCUUUUGCAACAUGGGACAAUCUUGCUGAAGGGUAUCUUGGUCUGAUAAUUGAAGAAAGUUUAGAGGAAAUGGAGUGUAAUGCUACGAUUUUUUUUUUAACGAAUAGAAUUUCUAAUCCGUGUUCGUGGAGUUCAUUAUGCUAGCUUUUUUGUGCAGUAGCUGUUCAUGUGGAACCAUGAAGGUUAAUUUAUUAUUUGUGUUAGCUUGUGCUGCAGGAUACAAUUUUUUCCCAUAUUUGCCAAUAUGGAAGGGUUCACCCUUAUUUAUAUCAUAGUUAGUAUUUGAUGCCUUUAUGUUCCUAAUUACCUUUUUUUUUAAUAGGGGUUUCUUUUGGAUUAGUAUCUUAGCAAUUUGGGUUAGUAUUUUAGAAAUCUUUUUAUUUGCUUCACCAGAACCUUGAUUUGAUCAGUGAAGGCAAUACUAGAGGAUUAGGGUUAAGAAAGGAUUUUUCAUGACGAGGUUCCUCACUUCCACUGAUAAUCUAGGGGUCACAGCAUGUGGGGCAUGACAGUGAUGAUCUCGAUAAGUGGAUCUGCUUUUUAUAUGCUGUAUCGAGUGUCAUAUCUGUGUUCCAGAAAUGUCAUUUGUGUUAUUAAUGACCUGGUGAUGUUCUCUCAUUUGUUUGACCAGAACCAUCGGCUCUCAAGAUAGCUUGGGGGAUUGGAUCAUGAUAUGCUCUUUUGAUGGAGGGUGUUCCUCAACCUUUAUGAUAGAAUUGAUAAUAUUUCUAUUUUUUUUCUCAAACUUAAAGUUCACGUCAUAGGUUUGUUAUUUCUGAUGUCGCAGAAGAGCUUGUACAACAUCAGGUGAUCUUGCUCAAGGGCAUCUUUACCUGAUAAUGGAAGACAGUUCGAAGGAAAUGGAUCAUAGUGAGAUGAUUUUUUAUUAAGGGGCUUUCUCAUCUUUGAUAGUGGAGGUAUUAUACUACUUUUUCCUAUACUAGCUGUUCAUGGGGAAUGGUGAAAGUUACUAUAUGGUUUGUGCUGUGGCGGUAACUUCUGCUGUAGGUUAUGAUUUUGCCCAUGUAGAAGGGUUUGUCCAUAUUUAUAGUUGGCCAUUUUCAAGAUUAAUUUAUAAUUUGUCAAUCUUUGUUCUAAGCAUUGAAAGUAUGAUUGACUGGGAUUAAGAAACGGUUUUCCAUGAUGGUGCUUUCUGGCUUCCACAAAUUCUUUAGGAGUCAAGCAUGUUGGAAAUAACACAUACUAUGUUGUGACCUGGUGAGCUUCUCCCAUUUGUUUGACUUCCUUGAGCGCUCAAGGCGUUUUGGGUGGAUGAGAGAAGGUAUGUUUUUUUUUUAUGUAGGGGUUCUUCAACCUCAUGAGCGUUGCAGAAGAGCUUGUGCAUUUGGGGCAUUCUUGCUCAAAGGUACUCUUGAUCUGAUAAUGGAAAGUAGUUUGGAGGAAUGCAAUGAUAAAGGGGGUUUGUCAUCUUUGAUAGUGGAGUUAAUAUUUCUAUUCUUUCCUGCACUAGCUAUUCAAACUGUGGAGGUUAAUUUAUUAUUUGUUUUGUUGCAGAGUUUGUGCUGUAAAUUACGAAUUUACCCUUCUGAAAGGGUCUGUUUCUAAUAUCAUAGUUCUUAUUUAUGUACCUUUGUGUUCCUAAUUUCCAUUUGCAAGCUUAAUUUAGAAUCUGUGAAACUUUAUUCUCAGUACCGAGGUUUUUUUUUUUGUGUUAUGAUCUUAGCAACCCUGUUAUUUGCUUUUCAGAGCACCUCAUUUUGAUCAGCGAAGACAACAUGGGGGAGUUAUUAAGAAAGAAAUUUUCUUGAUCCACUUUGAAGAGAAGGGCUUGCAUCUUUCAGUUUAUGUUGUGAGGGUUAGGUCCACAAGAUACCACAGCUUUUGGUGUUAUAUGAUUCACCUCUGAGUUAUGAGUUAGUAGUUCGAUCCUUUUUGAUUCUUAUUUUCCUAGUAAACGGGCGUCCUGGGUGAUAGGUUGUUUUACAUAUGAAUUUGAUUGUGCUAUGUUUCUCUCUCUAUCUACAGUGUUACAUUACAGAGUUGAAGAAUAAUUUAUUAGUAUUUCCAUCACAGAAUGAAUUCUGUUUUGGGUGACAUUUUGGGCUUACCACCCAUUUAGACCUGUUCGUUCAGCCGAGCAAACUAGGGAGAUGUCAAACCAAAUUCCUUGUCUGAAAUGGCGACGUUAGUGAGCUGGUUAAAAUGCAUGGAGUGAGUGUGAAAAGCUUCAUGAGGCAGAGGGAGAAUGACAUAAGUCUUUCGCUGUUGAGGUGCAGUUCUAAUGUAGUGAGGGAUUUCCAACCGGAGCUUGUAGAAAGACGGUAAGGGCUACCCAUUAGUUACGGUGUACGUAGUUGUUAAGAUGAAGCUUCAUUUGGUGUUGAUUCUAGACUCGAUUGGAAAUAACCUGAUGAAACUGACCUGCUUUCUUGAUUGCUUGUUUAUCAAGAAUGCGGCAUAAGGGAUGCACAUUAUUUUUUGAUGAGGAAGGACUCGGACUUUUUGAUCUUGUUGGUAACAGCCGCACUGAAGGGAAAACGCAAACAUGGAACAUGGGUGGGGAAACAUUGAUUGUCUGACACACCUCAUGCAUUGAGAUAUUAAGGGAGUUGGUGUUAUAUAGUAAAAUAGAUAAUGGGAUUAUUGAUGGUUUUUGUAUACUAUAGGCUAUGGAGGUAAGUAGAUUCUGGAUUUGAUUAUCUUUGAUGAUCCUUUUUUUUAUUUCAUAGGGUUGAAGCUAUCUUCUAGCUCGUAUUCAUCUUCAUGCAGUGCCAGUUCUUUAGGAGCGAAAGCAUAUGAUAUGGAGGCUAUUUUGUUAAGUGGCUUUGUCAAGGUCCGCCGUAUCGGUAUCGGUCGGCGUACCGGUGGCGGCCCGGACCGGUCCGUACCGGUGGCGUACCGGUCCGAACCGGUCCCGUACCGGUUUAGUACCGAUUCUUCAACAAUAAACUACCGGUACCGGAUUUCACGCUGAUCCGGUACCGGUCCCAGGCCGGACCGGUUCGUACCGGCCGGUACGGACCGGUACGGCAGACCAUGGGCUUUGUAGCUGAUAUCUCUUGGUUCAAGAAUAUCACUCAUUCUUAUUGAUCUAGUAACCUGGUGAUCAUCUCUCAUUUCAUUGACCCGCUUCUUGAUCGUUAUAGGAUGUACGCACAAAUUGGAGUAUGAUAUGACCUUUUUCACUGGCGUUGUCCUCAGCCUUGAUUGUAGAAUCAGUUAUAGUAUUUUUCUCUGAUACAUAAAGUUUGUGUGAUAAGAUAACUUGUUAUUUCUGUUGUUGCAGAAAAGCUUGUGCAACAGGGAAACAAUCAUUCUCAGGGUAUCUUGAUCUUGAAGACUAUAUGAAAGACUGGAGUGUAAUGUUGCGAUUUUUUAUUAAGGGGGCUCGCUUUGGGAGUUUGCGAUAUUUUUUUUCCUACACAAACUAUUCACAUGGAAGAUUGAUUUGUGCUUAUGUUGCAGCAUGCAAUUUUUCCAAGGCGAAGAGCAGAGUUUGUCCUUUAAAUCCUAGUCAUUGUUUACGUGCAUUUGUGUACCUAAUAAUCGCCUUUUUCCAUUAUUAGCUUGUGUUCUCUUAAUGUUUCUGGUCCCUUGGUAUAUUUUGGAAAAUGCUGGAUUAUGAUUUGUAAUGGGCUUCAUUUUCUUCCUGUUGCAUUUGCACUAUAUUGCUUGUCUUGAUAAUCGCGCUACUAUAUUUUGUAGGCUCUGGCGUGUCUUAGAACCGAUAUAAUAGUAGCUGCUACCUUUAAUCUGGGUUUGUUUUUUUUCAUACUUGUUCCAAUUACUUAAAUAUUUUGUUAUCUUUGGCAAUCCUGUCAUUUGCCUUACCAGAACUGUGAUUUGAUCAGUGAAGGCAGAAUGGAGCAAUCCAAGUAAAGCAGUGAUUUUUCUUGCAUUGGUGUGUAUGGGAAUUGAUAUAUAUUCUGCUACUGCUGAGUGACUUAGUAGCUGUUACAUUUUAGCUGCUAUUGCUGAGUGAGUGAGUAACUUUUGAUAUGGGUCAGUAUUUCUCUCUUUUGCUUCACCAGAAAUUUGAUUUGAUCAGUGAAGGCACCAUGGGGGAAUCCAAGCGAUGAAGCAACUGUCGAUGAUGACGGUAGUACUAUUGGUGACAUUUCAGCCGAUGAAUGGAAGGGGCUCACUGGCUUAUGCGAUUUCAUUAUAUUUUAAUUAUUUACAGACUGCUGGCUUCUUAAUUUCAUUAUCAGUAUCAAGAUUAUUGACGGUUUUACUCUAUUUUUGCUUGCAAGUGGAUGUAGAUUUCUAGAAGAUUUGCAUUUAAUAAGGUAGUGAGUUUCUUGAAGAUUUGCAGUAGUCUUUUUGACUUGGCAAUCGAAUCUGGUUUCAUGUGACUUUUUUCUUUUUGAAAAGAAUUCCAGUGGAUUGAGUUUUUUUUUUUUUUGUUGGAUCUGGGUGUGCUCUUUUGUUAAUCUACAGGUAUUUGUUGUAAUGUGUAAUAAUCAGUUUUGAAUAUUUCCAAUCCGACCGUAUGAGUUCAGACAUGCUUAUGAUUUUCCUGCUGCCUGUAUUACAGUUUUUGGUAUUCAUUUUGAUAAUUCUAUUUUCAGUUUGAAAGCAUCACACAAGCAUUAUUUUGCAGCCUGAUUAGUGGUUUCUGGAUGUCUCAAAAGAGAUGUUCCUGAUGCCAAUUCAAUGUUACUUUAAAUUCCAUCUUACGGUGAUGGACAAGAUAAGCAUGAUUCAGAGGCUGAAAUUCAAGUUGAAGAUUUGCAGUAAUUAAGGAAUUUUUUGCGACUUGGUUUUUAGGGUUCGCAGAAUUGUUAGCUGUUUGUUCUUGUUUGAGGAUUUGACGAUUGAAUCUGGUCUCUUGUGAUUUAGUUUCUUUUUUUUACUAGAAAAGAAUCCAAGUGGUUCAGGUUUCUUUCUUCUGGUAUUGGGGGUGCUCCAUCGUUAAUCUGCAGGAAUCAGCUGUGGUGUAUUCUGAUUGGAUUUUUGCGUAUUGCCAAUCUGACAGUCCGAGUUCAGAUUUACUUCAUGAUUUUCUUUUAUUCGGUUGAAGCACUGGUGCUGGGGUUACGAGUUUUCAGUAUUUGUUUUAAUAAUAUUUUCGGUGUGAAAUCAUCAAGGAAGCAGUUUCUAUGUUUCGGAGAAUGUUUCUGAUUCUAAGACGGUGUUAUUUUGGUUUCCAUAUUCUGAUGUUGGACAUAAGAGGCUUGAUUUAGAGGCCGGAAGUUCUUGUGAAGGGGGUUUCUUUAUUACUUGGUGGUUUGAUUAGUUGGUUUGAAACAUGAUGAAAAUAUUAUUGUGCAGUGUGACAGUGAUUUCUAAUUUUGAUGCUUAAUCUAAUCAUGGUUUUUGAUUCUUGAUGGUUUCUCUAGGUUCCAAUUUUUGAGAAGGCUGCCCUUGUUUUCCAAGUAAUUCAACUCAAAGAGAUGAUGUUAAAGCAGGUGUCCACAUUGGUUUUGUUUUGAAGGGGGUUUCUUUUCCUUUGAUUAUUUUCAUUUUGUUCAGAUAAUGUGAUUUGAUCAAUUGGUUUGAUUCAGAGAAGCAAUAUGUGAUCAGUGAGAUGAUUUUUUCCACUUCUUGUGUUUGUUGAAAUCCUUCUAUUUGGCUGCGGUAGGAUUUGUUGUGGCAACAAAUUGCACUACCUGAUCAGAGCUAUCGUAUACUGUUGGCAAGCACCGUGGCGGCAUAAUAGUUUCUUCUGAUCUUUACUCAUCUUCUGUGGCUGCUUAGGAUAUAUUUCCUCUGCUCUUUAUUCCGUUGUUACUUCAGGUUAUACCGCUCAAUUCACCUCGUUUUACCAGUAUCAAGCGAUUUCUUAAUGAUGGAUUCAUGAAAUAUGAUGCAGAGGCUGGAAUUCAAGGUUGGGUUUCUCUAGUACUCUAAUCAUGUGAUCAUUUAGGAUCAACUGACGAAUUGAUUGUGUUCGCUUUUCAUGAUUCAGAGCAUUUAGAGGAGCAAUUAUGAAGCUGUAAAUGUCUUAUUCAUUUGUUCGUUUGUGUUAUUGAGUGUUUGGUGCUUUUGCUGUAGUAUUUGUAAGGAUAUAAUGAACAUCAUGUUCGAUGGGUUGGAGUUGUUGGAUGGCUCCAGAGAUGCAAGGUAUUUCAGGUUCUGAUUAUCUAUUAUAUGGGACUCAUCCACCAUCUCUUUCACCAUUCUUGUUGCUACUCAGUCUACCGGUCGAGUGCUUAGAGCAAAAAGCAGAGAUGAUUUGCUGACAGAGCGACUACUUUGGUACUUGAAAUUAUUCAUAUUCCGUGGGUUAGAUGUGUAUUAUUGUUGUGUUUUUUUUGUCGUAUUUGCAAGAGCUUGAGCUUGGCAAUUGCUGAGGGCCAGAAAAUCAGGGUUAUUUCUUCCUUUAGAUAUCAUUUGCUUCCUCCUUUAUCCUAAUUGUUUGCUGUUAUUCAAUGAUUAGGGUCCUGUGACUCCUGUCUGAGAUAACCUGCUCUUGGCUUUUUGGUUGGUUCUCCGAAAGUCUUGGUUGUGUACUUGUCCCUAUACUUGCUCGUGUGGUAAAUAGAAAGUUUGCGAAUUUUUAUUUCUUUUUUUUUAACUGCAAAUUCGUUUCAUCUAGUCAUGACCAUGUUCAUAACGAGCUAAUGGUAGUGGUUUGCAGGUUGAUCUUAUAGUCUGUUGACCUUGCUUCUUCCAGUUGAUAGCUUUGGGAGUAGUAAGAUCUCAAUUUUUGGUUGUAGUUCACCUGUUACACAACAUUUCAUCAAUUUUGUCCACCAUAAGGCCCAUCACAUCUGUUGUUUUUGCUAUCAGAUUUCCUCUUGUGGAGAUGCCAUACUUGGUAUAUGUUUAAUAGCAUCAUCAACUGCCAAUCUUAAUCUAUGGUAACUCCUUCAAGGUUCUUUAUAAUCACUUUUCUUGUAGUACAUAUAUGUCUUGUUUUCACUGUUAUCUAGUAUUUGAGGGAUGUUUGUAUUUCAGUUGUUUUGUGGAAUUAUUCCUCCAUCUAGUCAUGCCCUCAUUUUAACAGCUUAUGCGAUUACCCGAACUUUCAGUUGUAGCUGUUUGGCAAAUUUUAAUUCUUUGACGUGUGCGAGGAGUAAUGUGAAACAUUAAUUUAUUAUCUCUGUUGAAGGGCUUGUAGUGUUUGAAAUAGUCUUGCUUAAGGGAUCUAGGGACCCACUAAGUUAAGCCAUUCUUUAUAUUUGUGGCUAUUGUUUAUGAAACAUUGUCUUCCUUAUUGCCUUUUGUUGAAUCUGCUUUAUAAUUAGUUAGUUCAUGUUUUGGAUUCGGUCAAAUCCGGAGAAUUCUGAUUUGGUUUGUUUUUAAGGAGCUUUAUUAUCUUCUAAUACGCUAUCUCUGGUCAUCUUUUCAUAUCUGACAGAUUGUAGGAUUCAGUACAUCCUGGGAGCGUUUUGAAUGACACUGUCUAUUAGUGAUUUUGUAGCUUUUACAUGUAAUUGAGGUAUCUGUGGGUUAAAUUUGUUUUAAGGUGGCAAUAAUUCCUUUUGGUUAGUGGUUUAAUUGUUUUCUCCAGUUCGUUUCACCAGUACCCUGAUUCGGUCAUUUGAGAUAUGGGGAAUUGGACUGCUGUUGAUGUGAUAAGGUUAAGCUGUUAUAUUUGUUGCUUUUGCUGAUCUUAUGUUAUGGUAAGCAAUUUGCAUGACUGUUUAUAUUGUGGCUAUUGUUUGUUGACUUCUGUCUUCUUAAUUGACUUUUUAUCAAUGCUGGUUCAGCAUGAAAUAAGAGAAUAUGUUCCUUAUUGAUCAAGGCAAAUUCUGUAAAAAUUAUCUUGCAACCAGUUUCAUUUUCAUGUAGGUCCUAAUGUUUGACUCCUUGUAGUGCUGGUGCGUCUUGGAAACAAAAUGAAUCGAGCAGGACUUAAUUCUCGAUGCACAUUUGUUCAAAUUCUGUAAAAUUCUGGGUUCAGUUACUUGUAAACAGUCUCAUUUUCAUUGUUUAGGUCCUAGUCUCCGGCUCCAUGGGAGUCCUACUUGGUGCAUGUUGGAAACAAAAUGACUCCAACAGUGGAUAAAUGAGUUAAUAUUUGAUGCACAUUAUUCUAAUUUCAUCUUCGUUCCAUACUGUUAAUCAUAUGUGUUGGGUUAUUAGCUUAUUGAUUCUUACAUUUGUUUCACUAGAACCAGUGAAGGCAAUUUGUAGGGUUUCCUCACUAUUUGGUUUUAUUAAUUUUUCUCUAACCAUGUUGUUUAUAAGGUUAAUUAUUUCUGUUAUUGCAGAAGAGCUUGUGCUGUAAGAGAACAUCUAGGUUGAUGGACAAGGUUGCUAAUGAAAAUACUUGCAGCUGAUUUGCUGUAUCAAGUUUCUUAGUUUCAUCUGUGUUCCAAAAUCUCAUUCAUUCCUAUUGCAUUGAUGUUUUCCUCUCAUUUGUUUGACCAGUAACUUGAAUGCUUAAUGUAGUCUGGGUGAAUUGGAGUAUGAUAUGCUUUUUCAUUCAUGGAGUUCCUCAACCUAGACUUAGAAUUUGGUUUAAUUAAUUUUUUUCCUUACACCUGGAGUUCAUGUGGUAGGUCAGUUUGUACUUCAGCUGUUGCAGAAGAUCUUGGGCAUCAUGGGAUAAUCUUGCUUAUGGGUAUCUUGAUAUGAAAAGUUUGUUGUACUAGCUUUUCCCUACAGUAGAUGUUCGUGUGGAAUCAUGAAAGUAAAUUUACUAUUUGUUCUGUUGCAGAUGAGCCUGUGCUGUAAGACAGAGUUUUGCCCAUAUGGAAGAGUUUGUCCUUGUUUAUGUUGUACUUAUUGUUUGAUACCUUUAUGUUCCUGAUUACCCCUUUUAUUUCACUAGUUGGUUUUAUUCCUUUGGGUUGACAUCUUAAUAAUUCUUUCUAUUUGCUUCACCAGAAUAUUGUUUUGAUCAGGGAGGCAAUAUGGAGACUCACUUCUGCUGGGAACAAGAUGGAUUCUAUGUUGAUAAGUUGUUUUGCAGCUGAUAUGCUGCACUAAGUUUCAUAUCUAUGUUCCAAAGUCUUGUUAAAUCUCAUUCAUUCCUGUUGUUCCAGUAACCUUGUGACUUCCUCUCAUUUGUUUGACCAGUACCAAGGUUUUAAAUACCGGUGGGAUAGUGGGGACCUGAGUGCUCAAGACAGUCUGGGUGGAUUGGAGCAUGAUAUGUAUUUUUCAUGGAGGGUUUCCUGAACCUUGAUUGUAGAACUUGUUCUACUACAUUUUUUUUACUCUUAUGCUUUGAUACUUGUUUAGUAUGUUAUUUCGGAUGUUGCAGAAGAGCUUGUGCGACAUUUGACAAUCUCGCUCAAAGGCAUCUUGAUCUGAUGAUGGAAGACAGUUUGGAGGACUUGGAAUAUAAUGAUAUGAUUUUUAUGAAGGGGGUUUCUCAUCUGUGAUACUGGAGUUAUACAUUUUCUCUUAUAAUAGCUGUUCGAGGGAAAGUGUGUAUUUUUAAUUUAUUCUUUGUGCUGUUCAGCUGUAGGUCACGAAUUUGCCUUAAGGGUUUGUUCUCACAGAACCUACCUUUCCUUCACAAUUUUUGAAGAAUAGAGAGGAGAAUGGUAUCUCAUGGCCUUUCCUCUCUUUUUUGGUCACAUGUUCUCUGAACCGAGCAAAACCUAAUGGUUCCGCUUGGUUUAGUUCGAGCCGGUUCACAGUGGUUUCCCAAUCAAGAGGCCAAAUUGACUUGGUUUCUCACCAGUUCGAGAUGCCCCGAAGUGGGAAGUUCGGGUCAGUUUGGCAUAAUCUUGAUUUCUUGGUUAAUCUCAUGCAGUUUAUCAUUUUGUGAUUGAUGUUGGCAGUUGUUUCAUGAUUUCCUGUUGCAUUAGUAACCUGGGGAUUCUCUCAUUUGUUUGACCAGCACUGUGAGUUCUCAAUAUGCUAUGGCUGCAUUGGAGUAUAUUUGUUUUUUCAUGAGGGGUUUUCUCCCUUUGAUUAUUGAAUUGAUCGUAGUAUUUUUUUCCCCUUAUGCUUUUAGUUCAUGUCUUUCUUAGUUUGUUAUUUGUGAUGUUGCAGAAGAGCUUUUGCAACAUGGGACAAUCUUGCUGAAGGGUAUCUUGGUCUGAUAAUUGAAGAAAGUUUAGAGGAAAUGGAGUGUAAUGCUGUGAUUUUUUUUUAAUGAAUAGAAUUUCUAAUCCAUGUUCGGGGAGCUCAUUAUGCUAGCUUUUUUGUGCAGUAGCUGUUCAUGUGGAACCAUGAAGGUUAAUUUAUUAUUUGUGCUGUUGCAGAUUAGCUUGUGCUGCAGGAUACAAUUUUUCCCCAUAUUUGCCAAUAUGGAAGGGUUCACCCUUAUUUAUAUCAUAGUUAGUAUUUGAUGCCUUUAUGUUCCUAAUUACCUUUUUUUUAAUAGGUGUUUCUUUUGAUUAGUAUCUUAGCAAUUUGGGUUAGUAUUUUAGAAAUCUUUUUAUUUGCUUCACCAGAACCUUGAUUUGAUCAGUGAAGGCAAUACUAGAGGAUUAGGGUUAAGAAAGGAUUUUUCAUGACGAGGUUCCUCACUUCCACUGAUAAUCUAGGGGUCACAGCAUGUGGGGCCUGACAGUAAUGAUCUCGAUAAGUGGAUCUGCUUUUUAUAUGCUGUAUCGAGUUUCAUAUCUGUGUUCCAGAAAUGUCCUUUGUGUUAUUAAUGACCUGGUGAUGUUCUCUCAUUUGUUUGGCCAGAACCAUCGGCUCUCAAGAUAGCUUGGGGGAUUGGAUCAUGAUAUGCUCUUUUGAUGGAGGGUGUUCCUCAACCUUUAUGAUAGAAUUGAUAAUAUUUCUAUUUUUUUCUCAAACUUAAAGUUCACGUCAUAGGUUUGUUAUUUCUGAUGUCGCAGAAGAGCUUGUACAACAUCAGGUGAUCUUGCUCAAGGGCAUCUUUACCUGAUAAUGGAAGACAGUUCGAAGGAAAUGGAUCAUAGUGAUAUAAUUUUUUAUUAAGGGGGUUUCUCAUCUUUGAUAGUGGAGGUAUUAUACUACUUUUUCCUAUACUAGCUGUUCAUGGGGAAUGGUGAAAGUUACUAUAUGGUUUGUGCUGUGGCGGUAACUUCUGCUGCAGGUUAUGAUUUUGCCCAUGUAGAAGGGUUUGUCCAUAUUUAUAGUUGGCCAUUUUCAAGAUUAAUUUAUAAUUUGUCAAUCUUUGUUCUAAGCACUGAAAGUAUGAUUAACUGGGAUUAAGAAAGGGUUUUCCAUGAUGUUGCUUUCUUGCUUCCACAAAUUCUUUAGGAGUCAAGCAUGUUGGAAAUAACACAUACUAUGUUGGUAAGUGGUUUUGCAGCUGAUAUGCUGUAUCAAGUUUCUUAGUUUCAUCUAUUUUUCACGAUCUCAUUCAUCCCUGUUGCAUUAGUGACCUGGUGAGCUUCUCCCUUUUGUUUGCCUUCCUUGAGCGCUCGAGACAUUUUGGGUGGAUGAGAGAAGGUAUGUUUUUUUUUUUAUGUAGGGGGUUCUUCAACCUCAUGAGCGUUGCAGAAGAGCUUGUGCAUUUGGGGCAUUCUUGCUCAAAGGUACUCUUGAUCUGAUAAUGGAAAAUAGUUUGGAGGAAUGAAAUGAUAAAGGGGGUGUGUCAUGUUUGAUAGUGGAGUUAAUAUUUCUAUUCUUUCUUGCACUAGCUGUUCAAAGUGUGGAGGUUAAUUUAUUAUUUGUUCUGUUGCAGAGUUUGUGCUGUAAAUUACAAAUUUACCCUUCUGGAAUAGUCUGUUUCUAAUAUCAUAGUUCUUAUUUAUAUACCUUUGUGUUCCUAAUUUCCAUUUGCAAUCUUAAUUUAGAAUCUGUGAAACUUUAUUCUCAGUAUCGAGGUUUUUGUUUUGUGUUAUUAUCUUAGCAACCCUGUUAUUUGCUUUUCAGAGCACCUCAUUUUGAUCAGCGAAGGCAACAUGGGGGAGUUAUUAAGAAAGAAAUUUUCUUGAUCCACUUUGGAGAGAAGGGUAUGCAUCUUUCAGUUUAUGUUGUGAGGGUUAGGUCCACAAGAUACCACAGCUUUUGAUGUUAUAUGAUUCACCUCUGAGUAAUGAGUUAGUAGUUCAAUCCUUUUUGAUUCUUAUCUUCCUAGUAAACGGGUGUCCUGGGCGAUAGGUUGUUUUACAUAUGAAUUUGAUUGUGCUAUGUUUCUCUCUCUAUCUACAGUGUUACAUUACAGAGUUGAAGAAUAAUUUAUUAUUAUUUCCAUCACAGAAUGGAUUCUAUUUUGGGUGACAUUUCGGGCUUACCACCCAUUUAGACCUGUUCGUUCAGCCGAGUAAACUAGGAAGAUGUCAAACCAAAUUCCUUGUCUGAAGUGGCGACGUUAGUGAGCUGGUUAAAAUGCAUGGAGUGAGUGUGAAAAGCUUCAUGAGGCAGAGGGAGAAUGACAUAAGUCUUUCGCUGUUGAGGUGCGGUUCUAAUGUAUUGAGGGAUUUCCAACCGGAGAUUGUAGAAAGACGGUAAGGGCUCUCCAUUAGUUAUGGUGUACGUAGUUGUUAAGAUUAAGCUUCGUUUGGUGUUGAUUCUAGAUUAGACUGGAAAUAACCUGAUGAAACUGACCUGCUUUCUUGAUUGCUUGUUUAUCAAGAAUGAGGCAUAUGGGAUGCACAUUAUUUUUUGAUGAGGAAGGACUCGGACUUUUUGAUCUUGUUGGUAACAGCCGCACUGAAGGGAAAACGCAAACAUGGAACAUGGGUGGGGAAAUAUUAAUGGUCUGACACACCUCAUGCAUUGAGAUAUUUAGGGAGUUGGUGUUAUAUAGUAAAAUAGAUAAUGGGAUUAUUGAUGGUUUUUGUAUACUAUAGGCUAUGGAGGUAAGUAGAUUCUGGAUUUGGUUAUCUUUGAUGAUCCUUUUUUUUAUUUCAUAGGGUUGAAGCUAUUUUCUAGCUCGUGUUCAUCUUCAUGCAGUGCCAGUUCUUUAGGUGCGAAAGCAUAUGAUAUGGAGGCUAUUUUGUUAAGUGGCUUUGUAGCUGAUAUCUCUUGGUUCAAGAAUAUCACUCAUUCUUAUUGAUCUAGUAACCUGGUGAUCAUCUCUCAUUUCAUUGACCCGCUUCUUGAUCGUUAUAGGAUGUACGCACAAAUUGGAGUAUGAUAUGACCUUUUUCACUGGUGUUGUCCUCAGCCUUGAUUGUAGAAUCAGUUAUAGUCAUUUUCCCUGAUAGAGUUUGUGUGAUAAGAUAACUUGUUAUUUCUGUUGUUGCAGAAAAGCUUGUGCAACAGGGAAACAAUCAUUCUCAGGGUAUCUUGAUCUUGAAGACUAUAUGAAAGACUGGAGUGUAAUGUUGCUAUUUUAUAUUAAGGGGGUUCGUUUUGGGAGUUUGCGAUAUUUUUUUUCCUACACAAACUAUUCACAUGGAAGAUUGAUUUGUGCUUAUGUUGCAGCAUGCAAUUUUUCCAAGGCGAAGAGCAGAGUUUGUCCUUUAAAUCCUAGUCAUUGUUUAUGUGCAUUUGUGUACCUAAUAAUCGCCUUUUUUCCAUUAUUAGCUUGUGUUCUCUUAAUGUAUCUGGUCCUUUGGUAUAUUUUGGAAAAUGCUGGAUUAAGAUUUGUAAUGGGCUUCAUUUUCUUCCUGUUGGAUUUGCACUAUAUUGCUUGUCUUGAUAAUCAUGAUACUAUAUUUUGUAGGCUAUGGUGUGUCUUAGAACCGAUAUAAUAGUAGCUGCUACCCUUAAUCUGGGCCUGUUUUUUUCAUACUUGUUCCAAUUACUUAAAUAUUUUGUUAUCUUUGGCAAUCCUGCCAUUUGCCUUACCAGAACUGUGACUUGAUCAGUGAAGGCAGAAUGGAGCAAUCCAAGUAAAGCAGUGAUUUUUCAUGCAUUGGUGUGUAUGGGAAUUGAUAUAUAUUCUGCUACUGCUGAGUGACUUAGUAGCUUUUACAUUUUAGCUGCUAUUGCUGAGUGAGUGAGUUACUUUUGAUAUGGGUCAGUAUUUCUCUCUUUUGCUUCACCAGAAAUUUGAUUUGAUCAGUGAAGGCACCAUGGGGGAAUCCAAGGGAUGAAGCAACUGUGGAUGAUGGCGGUAGUACUAUAGGUGACAUUUCAGCCGAUGAAUGGAAGGUGCUCACUGGCUUAUGCGAUUUCAUUAUAUUUUAAUUAUUUACAGUCUGUUGGCUUCUUAAUUUCAUUAUCAGUAUCAAGAUUAUUGAUGGUUUUACUCUAUUGUUGCUUGCAAGUGGAUGUAGAUUUCUAGAAGAUUUGCAUUUAAUAAGGUAGUGAGUUUCUUGAAGAUUUGCAGUAGUCUUUUUGACUUGGCAAUUGAAUCUGGUUUCAUGUGACUUUUUUCUUUUUGAAAAGAAUUCCAGUGAAUUGAGUUUUUUUUUUUUGGUUGGAUCUGGGAGUGCUCUUUUGUUAAUCUACCGGUAUGAUUUUCCUGCAAAUCUUAAUCGCUUUUGAAUAUUUCCAAUCCGACAGUAUGAGUUCAGACUUGCUUAUGAUUUUCCUGCUGCCAGUAUUACAGUUUUUGGUAUUCAUUUUAAUAAUUCUAUUUUCAGUUUGAAAGCAUCACACAAGCAUUAUUUUGCAGCCUGAUUAGUGGUUUCUGGAUGUCUCGAAAGAGAUGUUCCUGAUGGCAAUUCAAUGUUACUUUAGAUUCCAUCUUACGGUGUUGGACAAGAUAGGCAUGAUUCAGAGGCUGAAUUUAAGUUAAAGAUUUGCAGUAAUUAAGGAAUUUUUUGCGACUUGGUUUUUAGGGUUCGCAGAAUUUUGAGCUGUUUGUUCUUGUUUGAGGAUUUGACGAUUGAAUCUGGUCUCUUGUGAUUUAGUUUCCUUUUUUUCCUAAAAAAGAAUCCAAGUGGUUCAGGUUUCUUUCUUCUGGUAUUGGGGGUGCUCCAUCGUUAAUCUGCCGGAAUCAGCUGUGGUGUAUUCUGAUUGGAUUUUUGAGUAUCGCCAAUCUGACAGUCCGAGUUCAGAUUUACUUCAUGAUUUUCUUGCAUUCGGUUGAAGCACUGGUGCUGGGGUUACGAGUUUUCAGUAUUUGUUUUAAUAAUAUUUUCAGUGUGAAAUCAUCAUGGAAGCAGUUUCUAUGUUUCGGAGAAUGUUCCUGAUUCUAAGUCGGUGUUAUUUUGGUUUCCAUAUUCUGAUGUUGGACAUAAGAGGCAUGAUUUAGAGGCCGGAAGUUCUUGUGAAGGGGGUUUCUUUAUUACAUGGUGGUUUGAUUAGUUGGUUUGAAACAUGAUGACAAUUUUAUUGUGCAGUGUGACAGUGAUUUCUAAUUUUGAUGCUUAAUCUAAUCAUGGUUUUUGAUUCUUGAUGGUUUCUCUAGGUUCCAAUUUUUGAGAAGGCUGCCCUUGUUUUCCAUGUAAUUCAACUCAAAGAGAUGAUGUUAAAGCAGGUGUCCACAUUGGUUUUGUUUUGAAGGGGGUUUCUUUUCCUUUGAUUAUUUUCAUUUUGUUCAGAUAAUGAGAUUUGAUCAAUUGGUUUGAUUCAGAGAAGCAAUAUGUGAUCAGUGAGAUGAUUUUUUCCACUUCUUGUGUUUGUUGAAAUCCUUCUAUUUGGUUGCGGUAGGAUUUGUUGUGGCAACAAAUUGCACUACCUGAUCAGAGCUAUCAUAUACUGUUGGCAAGCACUGUGGGGACAUAAUAGUUUCUUCUGAUCUUUAGUCAUCUUCUGUGGCUUCUUAGGAUAUAUUUCCUCUGCUCAUUAUUCCGUUGUUACUUCAGGUUAUACUGCUCAAUUUACCUCGUUUUGCCAGUAUCAAGGGAUUACUUAAUGAUGGAUUCAUGAAAUAUGAUGCAGAGGUUGGAAUUCAAUAUUGGGUUUCUCAAGUACUCUAAUCAUCAUGUUCAAUAUUGGUUUGCUGUAGUAUUUGUAAGGAUAUAAUGAACAUCAUGUUCAACGGGUUGGAGUUGUUGGAUGGCUCCAGAGAUGCAAGUCUACCGGUCGACUGCUUAGAGCAAAAAGCAGAGAUGAUUUGCUGACAGAGCGACUACUUUGGUACUUGAAAUUAUUCAUAUUCCAUGGGCUAGAUGUGAAUUAUUAUUGUGUUUUUUUUGUCGUAUUUGCAAGAGCUUGAGCUUUUCAAUUGCUGAGGGCCAGAAAAUCAGGGUUAUUUCUUCCUUUAGAUAUCAUUUCCUUCCUCCUUUAUCCUAAUUGUUAGCUGUUAUUCAAUGAUUAGGGUUCUGUCUGAGAUAACCAGCUCUUGGCUUUUUGGUUGGUUCUCCGAAAGUCUUGGUUGUAUACUUGUCCCUAUAUUUGCUUGUGUGGUAAAUAGAAAGUUUGCGAAUUUUUAUUUCUUUUUUUUAAUUGCAAAUUCGUUGCAUCUAGUCAUGACCAUGUUCAUAACGAGCUAAUGGUAGUGGUUUGCAGGUUGAUCUUAUAGUCUGUUGACCUUGCUUCUUCCAGUUGAUAGCUUUGGGAGUAGUAAGAUCUCAAUUUUUGGUUGUAGUUCACCUGUUACUCAACAUUUCAUCAAUUUUGUCCACCAUAAGGCCCAUCACAUCUGUUGUUUUUGCUAUCAGAUUUCCUCUUGUGGAGAUGCCAUACUUGGUAUAUGUUUAAUAGCAUCAUCAACUGCCAAUCUUAAUCUAUGGUAACUCCUUCAAGGUUCUUUAUAAUCACUUUUCUUAUAGCACAUAUACGUCUUGUUUUCACUGUUAUCUAGUAUUUGAGGGAUGUUUGUAUUUCAGUUGGUUUGUGGAAUUAUUCCUCCAUCUAAUCAUGCCCUCAUUUUAACAGCUUAUGCGAUUACCCGAACUUUCUGUUGUAGCUGUUUGGCAAAUUUUAAUUCUUUGACGUGUGCGAGGAGUAAUGUGAAACAUUAAUUUAUUAUCUCUGUUGAAGGGCUUGUAGUGUUUGAAAUAGUCUUGCUUAAGGGAUCUAGGGAUCCACUAAGUUAAACCAUUCUUUAUAUUUGUGGCUAUUGUUUAUGAAACAUUGUCUUCCUUAUUGCCUUUUGUUGAAUCUGCUUUAUAAUUAGUUAGUUCAUGUUUUGGAUUCGGUCAAAACCGGAGAAUUCUGAUUUGGUUUGUUUUUAAGGAGCUUUAUUAUCUUCUAAUACGCUAUCUCUGGUCAUCUUUUCGUCUCUGACAGAUUGUAGGUUACAGUACAUCCUGGGUGCGUUUUGAAUGACACUGUCAAUUAGUGAUUUUGUAGCUUUUACAUGUAAUUGAGGUAUCUGUGGGUUAAAUUUGUUUUAAGGUGCCAAUAAUUCCUUUUGGUUAGUGGUUUAAUUGUUUUCUCCAGUUCGUUUCACCAGUACCCUGAUUCGGUCAUUUGAGAUAUGGGGAAUUGGGCUGUUGUUGAUGUGAUAAGGUUAAGCUGUUAUAUUUGUUGCUUUUGCAGAUCUUAUGUUAUGGGAAGCAAUUUGCAUUACUAUUUAUAUUGUGACUAUUGUUUGUUGACUUCUGUCUUCUUAAUUGACUGUUUAUCAAUGCUGGUUCAACACGAAAUAAGAGAAUAUGUUCCUUAGGUAUCAAGGCAAAUUCUGUAAAAUUUUCCUGUAACCAGUUUCAUUUUCAUGUAGGCCCUAAUGUUUGUCUCCUUGUAGUGCUGGUGCGUCUUGGAAACAAAAUGAAUCCAGCAGGAGUCCUGCUGCAGGACUUAAUUCUCGAUGCACAUUUGUUCAAAUUCUGUAAAAUUCUGGACUCAGUUACUUGUAAACAGUCUCAUUUUCAUGGUUUAGGCCCUAGUCUCAUGGGAGUCCUACAUGGUGCAUGUUGGAAACAAAAUGAAUCCAAGAGUGGAUAAAGGAGUUAAUAUUUGGUGCACAUUAUUCUAAUUUCAUUUUUGUUCCAUACUGUUAAUCAUAUGUAUUGGGUUAUUAGCUUAUUGAUUCUUACAUUUGUUUCACUAGAACCAGUGAAGGCAAUCUAUAGGGUUUCCUCACUAUUUGGUUUUAUUAAUUUUUCUCUAACCAUGUUGUUUAUAUGGUUAAUUAUUUCUGUUAUUGCAGAAGAGCUUGUGCUGUAAGAGAACAUCUAGGUUGAUGGACAAGGUUGCUAAUUAAAAUACUUGCAGCUGAUUUGCUGUAUCAAGUUUCUUAGUUUCAUCUGUGUUCCAAAAUCUCAUUCAUUCCUAUUGCAUUGAUGUUUUCCUCUCAUUUGUUUGACCAGUAAUGCUUAAUGUAGUCUGGGUGAAUUGGAGUAUGAUAUGCUUUUUCAUUCAUGGAGUUCCUCAACCUAGACUUAGAAUUGGUUUUAUUAAUUUUUCUCCUUACACCUAGAGUUCAUGUGAUAGGUCAGUUUGUACUUCUGCUGUUGCGGAAGAUCUUGGGCAUCAUGGGAUAAUCUUGCUUAUGGGUAUCUUGAUAUGAAAAGUUUGUUGUACUAGCUUUUCCCUACAGUAGCUGUUCAUGUGGAAUCAUGAAAGUAAAUUUAUUAUUUGUUCUGUUGCAGAUGAGUUUGUGCUGUGAGACAGAGUUUUGCCCAUAUGGAAGGUUUUGUCCUUGUUUAUGUUGUACUUAUUGUUUGAUACCUUUAUGUUCCUGAUUACCCUUUUUUUUUCACUAGUUGGUUUUAUUCCUUUGGGUUGAUAUUUUAAUAUUUCUUUCUAUUUGCUUCACCAGAAUAUUGUUUUGAUCAGGAAGGCAAUAUGGAGACUCACUUCUGUUGGGAACAAGAUGGAUGCUAUGUUGAUAAGUUGUUUUGCAGCUGAUAUGCUGUACUAAGUUUCAUAUCUAUGUUCCAAAGUCUUAUUAAACCUCUCAUUCAUUCCUGUGGUUUGUGGUUCCAGUAACCUUGUGACUUCCUCUGAUUUGUUUGACCAGUACCAAGGUUUUAAAUACCGGUGGGACAGUGGGGACCUUGAGUGCUCAAGAAAGUCUGGGUGGAUUUGAGCCUGAUAUGUAUUUUUCAUGGAGGGGGCUCCUCAACCUUGAUUGUAGAACUUGUUCUACUACGUUUUUUUUAUUAGAGUACUUGUUUAGUAUGUUAUUUCCGAUGUUGCAGAAGAGCUUGUGCGGCAUUUGACAAUCUUGCUCAAGGGCAUCUUGAUCUGAUGAUGGAAGACAAUUUGGAGGAAUUGGAAUAUAAUGAUAUGAUUUUUAUGAAGGGGGUUUCUCAUCUUUGAUACUGGAGUUAUGCAAUUUCUCUUGUACUAGCUGUUCAAGGGAAAGUGUGUAUUUUAAUUUAUUCUUUGUGCUGUUCAGCUGUAGGUCACGAAUUUGCCCUAAGGGUUUGUUCUCACAGAACCAACCUUUCCUUCACAAUUUUUGAAGAAUAGAGAGGAGAAUGGUAUCUCAUGGCCUUUCCUCUCUUUUUUGGUCGCAUGUUGCCUCAAAUGGACUUAAACCACUCCGAAUCGAGCAAAACCAAACGGUUCUGUUUGGUUUUGUUCGUGCCGGUUCACAGUGGUUUGCCAAUCAAGAGGCCAAAUUGACUUGGUUUCUCACCAGUUCGAGAUGCCCCAAUUCGAGAUGAUUGCUUAUUUAUAGUUGAAUUAUUGUACUAACUGUAUGCUCUCCAGUAUAGUGGGUUAUAUGAAAGGGUUAAAGAAUAAUAAUCUGCUAUACGUGCUGUCACGGUUUUACAUGUCAUUUUGGAUGAAGGGAAGGGGGUCCGCUAGGUACACCAUUCAUUUACUGUAGUUGUCAUUUUAUGGACUGUUAACUUUUUUAAUUGUUUUAUUAUCAAUAUUGAGAAUGUUCAUGGUUUUGCUAUACUGUAGGCUGUGGAUAUGCUUAGAUUACGGAUUUGAUUAUCUUUGGUCUGCGUCAUUUUUAUGUCCCAUAGGGCAGGCAAUCUUUUGGCUUUGUCUUCUAUCUGCAUGCAACACCAACUAUAGGAGUCAAAAACAUAUUGGGGAACAUAUGGCUGCUAUGUUGAUAAGUGGAUUUUUGGAUGAUAUAUUGUUGUUUCUUAGUUUCAUCCUUGUUCCAAAAUCUUAUAUAUUCUUGGUGGGUCUUAUUUGUCUGACCAGUAUCUUGAUUGCUUUGGAUGGAGCAUGACAUCAUUUUCUUGUGUAGGGGAGUUCCUAUUGGUUAUUCUAAUUCUUUUCAUUAUUAAAGUCCGUGUGAUAGUUUACUUUGUCAUUUUUAUUGUUUUUCAGAAUAGUUGGUGCUACAAGGGACAAUAUUGCUCCGUGUAUCUUUAUCUAGUAAUUGAAGACAGAAGGGAAAAAUGCAAUUGAUUUUUUUUUUCAAUGAGGGAUUCCUCAUCUUUGAUGGUGUAUUUCAUUUUAUAAAUUUUUGCUGCAAUACCUGUUCAAAUGAGACUUGGAAGGUAACUUAUUACUGCUGUUGCAGAUGAGCUUGUGUUGAAAUAUACAAUUUUACGGAUGCAGAAGGGAUUUUU